CAGCCAGCAGUGGUUCUCCUGUCCUUAAGAGCACACCAGGAGCUGGGAAGCAACAAGCAGUUAAAAAUCAGAAAUCAUCCCCUGAAUUUCCCAGGAGCUUUAGCCUUUCGGUUAUGCAGAGGACAAUUACUACAUUUUUUUAUCCUCAAUGAAGUGCAGGUCUCUGCAUUUGGUUUCUGCCUCUAAUGCUGGUUCAUCCUGUGCUGUUGCUUGAUACAUUUUUGUCUCUGCUGCCCAACUGCCUAUAAAAAGGGGAGUCUGUGCACCAUCUGUGCUAUUACAUCUAAUGAGGGUGGCCAGAUCCCCAGAUGAUAUUGAAGAGCACCUUCCCUCUGACACUGCACCAUUGGAGUUGACAGGAGUUUUGCCUUUGAAGAAAUGUAAGCAUGGAGGUGGCAGUAAGCACAGACCGUGCUCCACUGGUCCUCUGACUGUGCCUUACGAGCAAAAAGCCUCCUAAACCCACUGGAUGUAGCUUUCCAACAGGUGAGGGGAACUGAGAUGCCAGUAUAUUAACAUGUUUUCCCUGGUGUGACUUACUGCAUCGAGGAUGUCAGCCGAGCUGCUGCGGAGGUCUGAGGACAACUCACACGUUGUGUAUCCCGUGUGUGUGUAUGUUCUUGUUGGCGAUUUACGUUGACAGGCAGCUGAAGGCACCCAAAGAUCUGGUGCGUGGUGACAUACCACAGAGCGUAUUGCCUUUAUGCUGUGAUUUUCCCCAAGGAAGAUGGCGAGCUCAGAAUGGGAUGCUAAAGCCACCGUAGCUGUAGCUACUCAUCAUGCAGUUUGGUGGCUCAUCUCCUUCCCAUGGUGCUUCUGAGCUGCCCAGGAGCUGCGUGUUGAUGAAAAAAAGUUUAAUCCAUGUUCCCACCCAGAAACAUUUUGCAAAGACAGUUCUGGGAAUGCAAUGGAUUGCUUCCUCCAGUAGAUUGAGGUGGGUAUUGGCAGACGGGUUUGACCAUACAGUUGGCCAGUUCUGUUAUGUGCUAGUUUUUUAACAAGUCGCUGCAGUGUGAUUGGUCCCAGGGGUAUCAUGAAUUUGGUUCUGCUUGGCAAAAUAA